rnacentral:rRNA from 1 species
AGUGAACGCUGGCGGUAGGCCUAACACAUGCAAGUCGAACGGCAGCACAGUAAGAGCUUGCUCUUACGGGUGGCGAGUGGCGGACGGGUGAGGAAUACAUCGGAAUCUACUUUUUCGUGGGGGAUAACGUAGGGAAACUUACGCUAAUACCGCAUACGACCUACGGGUGAAAGCAGGGGAUCUUCGGACCUUGCGCGAUUGAAUGAGCCGAUGUCGGAUUAGCUAGUUGGCGGGGUAAAGGCCCACCAAGGCGACGAUCCGUAGCUGGUCUGAGAGGAUGAAUCGGCACAAUGGAAAUGAGACCAGGGCCCGAAUCCUAAGGGAGGCAGGAGUUGGGAAUAUUGGACAAUGGGCGCAAGCCUGAUCCAGCCAUACCGCGUGGGUGAAGAAGGCCUUCGGGUUGUAAAGGCCUUUUGUUGGGAAAGAAAAGCAGCAGGUUAAUACCCCGCUGGUCUGACGGUACCCAAAGAAUAAGCAACGGCUAACUUCGUG